rnacentral:rRNA from 1 species
GUCUAUGGCCAUGCCACCUUGAACAAGCCUGAUCCUGUCUGAUCUCGGAAGCUAAGCAGGGUUGGGCCUAGUUACUACUUGGAUAGGAGACCACCUACGAAGACUGGGUGCUGUAGGCA